rnacentral:rRNA from 1 species
AGGACGAACGCUGGCGGCGUGCCUAACACAUGCAAGUGGAGCGACGAACCAGGCUUCGGCCUGGGGCAGAGCCGCGAACGGGUGAGUAACACGUGGGUAACCUGCCCUGAUGAUUGGGACAACCCGAGGAAACUCGGGCUAAUACCAAAUGUGCCCUCCGGCCUCAAGGCCUGUGGGGAAAGGAAGCUUCGGCCUCCGCAUCGGGAUGGGCCCGCGGCCCAUUAGCUUGUUGGUGAGGUAAUGGCUCACCAAGGCUACGAUGGGUAGCUGGUCUGAGAGGACGAUCAGCCACACUGGGACUGAGACACGGCCCAGACUCCUACGGGAGGCAGCAGUGGGGAAUCUUGCGCAAUGCGCGAAAGCGUGACGCAGCAACGCCGCGUGGGGGAAGAAGGCCUUCGGGUUGUAAACCCUUUCAGUUGGGACGAAGCUUCGCCGGUGAACAGCCGGCUGGAGUGACGGUACCUUCGAGAAGAGCCCGGCUAACUACGUGCCAGCAGCCG